GACAUAACAGGCCUAAUUUACCUGCCCAUCAGCCCUGUUGUUUCUCUCACUUCUCUCUAAAAGUGCAAAGUUUCAAGAAGUUAAAUGAACAAAGGGGAUCAAACAGCAAGAAUGCACUUUUAGUAGAAAGCAGUGAUUAAAUCGAGGCUUCCUGACCAGUGAUUUAAAUCAAAUCCACCCUG